AAAUCACAAUCGGAAUUCGAAGGAAGGGAGGAAGAAUCAAUGUCAAUGGAGCCUCCGCCAUUUGAAGAAGCCUCGCGUUGUAACGUCUGCAAAUGCAGCUUCACCACCUUCCGCCGUCGGGUGCCCCUUUUUUCGUUCUUUUCUUUGAUUAUUUUCAACUGCUUCGUUUUUUGUGUAAUUAAUUGUAUAGUCUGAUUAUGAUCAUUGACUGUAUGUCGGAUCAUCUGCAUCUGGAUUUAUUUUUAUUUUAAUUUAAAAUGAGGUGAUUGCACAAGACCACUGAGUUGCUGGGAUUUAUGGUUGAUGACCUAGUGGACUGAAGAGUUAUUUCAUAGAUUGUUCGAAAACUUCAUGGGUUCCCUUUUUGUAUUCGUGAUCCUUCACACAAUAUGUCUAAAGGUUUAGUUUUUAAGUAGUUUAAGAUACAGCAGAUGUUGAUGUUGUGUGACGGAUGUGGAGGAAGUUGAGGGUGUUCAAUGGUUGUUGGGAAAUUAACAACUGAAGUACAUCGAAGAUAAAACAUAGCUUGUAAUGGUUGUUGAGGAAUGGAGUCUAUAUGAAUUGUUGAAAAUGGGACGCAAAAAUUCCAUGCUUGAAUUUGAAAAUUAAGAGUGAGAACCCUCACGAGUGAUGAAUUAUGUAAUUUAAGGAGAAAGGUUAAAAACCAUCGUAGAGAUAUGAAUUGUGUGAUUAUGAUAUAAGUUUAGUGGAGGCAAAGUGACGAGGACAUCUAUUUUUAUUUAUUUCUAGUUGGACUCUUAUUUAUGUUUGGACUGUAAGUUAUGUAAUUGGGCUUUGGUCUAAGCCCGGUCUCUUUAGGUUUUUGUUUUGCUAUUUAAAUCUAGUUUGCCAUGUAAUUGAAAUAGUUGAUGAUUAUGAGAAAUUGAAAUUGGUUUUUCCUUGUUCUCCUUCCCUUGCCUUCCCCUUGAUCUCUUCUUCUCCGAGUUUCUCCCCCGCCCCUGCCCUCUGGUUCUCCCCUUCUUUCUUGCUGUUUUCUUAUUUUUAUCCUGCAUCACAAAGUCUAUGUUGAUAACAGCUCCUGGUGUUUAAUAAAGGGUGAGAGGUCUUGAUAUAUUGCCGGGUCGAGGAUUUCAGGGAGAAUCAUGACUUAAACUGCGAAGUUGCACUGUAGGUUUAUGAAAGUGUUUGGGAGAUAUUUUUACGUAAAAAUGCAUUUUUGAAUAGUAAAUUGAUGGAAAAUGUGUGGUUGAAAAAUAAGGAAAAGUUUUUUAUUAACGUGUAAUAUUAUUUUAAUAAA
rnacentral:lncRNA from 1 species